rnacentral:rRNA from 1 species
UGGGGAAUAUUGCACAAUGGGCGCAAGCCUGAUGCAGCCAUGCCGCGUGUAUGAAGAAGGCCUUCGGUUGUAAAGUACUUUCAGCGGGGAGGAAGGUGUUGAGGCUAAUAACCUCAGCAAUUGACGUUACCCGCAGAAGAAGCACCGGCUAACUCCGUGCCAGCAGCCGCGGUAAUACGGAGGGUGCAAGCGUUAAUCCGAAUUACUGGGCGUAAAGCGCACGCAGGCGGUCUGUCAAGUCGGAUGUGAAAUCCCCGGGCUCAACCUGGGAACUGCAUUCGAAACUGGCAGGCUAGAGUCUUGUAGAGGGGGGUAGAAUUCCAGGUGUAGCGGUGAAAUGCGUAGAGAUCUGGAGGAAUACCGGUGGCGAAGGCGGCCCCCUGGACAAAGACUGACGCUCAGGUGCGAAAGCGUGGGGAGCAAACA